UACGUAGGGUCCGAGCGUUGUCCGGAAUUACUGGGCGUAAAGAGCUCGUAGGUGGUUUGUCGCGUUGUUCGUGAAAACUCACAGCUCAACUGUGGGCGUGCGGGCGAUACGGGCAGACUAGAGUACUGCAGGGAGACUGGAAUUCUGGUGUAGCGGUGAAAUGCGCAGAUAUCAGGAGGAACACCGGUGGCGAAGGCGGGUCUCUGGGCCGAUACUGACGCUGGAGGAGCGAAAGCCGUGGGAGCGAACAGG
rnacentral:rRNA from 1 species